GAAAAGCCUGCAUCAUGUGGGAAUAAAUGAGGCUGCAUGUGAUCAAAUACCCGGAAAACAAUGGCGUAAACCAGAGCAGGGGCUGGGGCUCAGCUGUGGCCGGACACCCACCACGUGCCCAUGGGAUGCUUCCAGGUCCCCUUCUAGACCAGCAGAAGCCCAGGACACCUGACCGCCACUGGACAAGCACAUGGGGAAAAUGAGCCCCCCUUCUCCACGGGUUCCCCAACACCUCAGAAGUCCAGGAAGACACAGUGAUGAUUCAUACAUUUUGCCAAAGAGGGAUGAUUUCAUGAAAUCUCCAAAUGAUCACGAUAACAUCCCAGCCAUUAGGGAUACUAAGCCAGCCACCGAAAUUGGCAGAGAAGCCCUCAUCUUUGAGAGGAGUAGGAAGCAACACAUAUACUCUAUGUCCAGAAUUAGAAUCCAUACUGGCAUGCUGUUCCUAUACAUCAACCCGAACCCCAGCCCCCAACCCCACUCACUGGAGGCAGAAUGGUGUGGGUUCAGCCUCAGCUCAGAUGCUCACUAGCCAGAAGACCAGAAAGCACCUACCUCCCUAAGCACCAACCUCUUCAUCUAGAACAUGAAAGUCACAUCCUUCUCCUGCCUCUGUCCCCAAAGUGAGCUAAGCUCAGAAGAGCCAAGCCCAGGAAAGUAUUUAGAAAAUGGAUCCAUUGAACAGCUCUUCCAUUGCAGGUCAGAUUCUUCAAUGAAUUCUUUAAUUGAACCAUUUGUUAACUAAUAUCAUGUGUUGGCUUUUGGUUUUACUAUGUUUUAGUACAAAUAUCCAGGGACAAACUCUUCAGCUGACUACAUCUGAUGACUAAAUUGUUCAAUUGCUUCUGUAAUUUUCUCUAUCCUGGUGAUGACAUCUUGAGAGGUGAAGCCAGCUGUGCUUCUGGGUCAGGUGGGGACUUGGAGAACUUUUCUUUCUAGCUAAAGGAUUGUAAAUGCACCAAUCAGCACUCUGUGUGUAGCUAAAGGAUUGUAAAUGCACCAAUCAGCAUUCUGUAAAAAUGGACCAAUCAGCAUUCUGUAAAAUGGACCAAUCAGCACUCUGUAAAAUGGACCAAUCAGUGCUCUGUAAAAUGGACCAAUCAACAGGACAUGGGCGGGGACAAAUAAGGGAAUAAAAGCUGGCCACUGCCAGCUUGCUGCGGGAACAUGCUCAGGUCUGUUCUUUUGUCUUGAUUAUAAAUCUUGCUGCUGCUUGCUCUUUCGGUCCGCACCACCGUUAAGAGCUGUGACACUCCCCGCGAGGGUCUGUGGUUGCGUUCUUGAAGUCAGCAGGACCAGAAACCCACGGGAAGGAACCAGUUCCGGACAAAAUCUCAGGCCCAGUCAACUGUCACCUGAUCCCAACUCUAGCCAGACUCAGUUUUAAGUCCCGUCGACUGCCACCUGAACCCAACUCAAGCCAGACUCAUUUAAGAGGAGAGUGAGCAAAGCCACACCCCCUCCCUGUUGCCAGUCUCUUCGUGCGUGGGCAACUGGUUCUGCAACCAGUUCAUAUGUCAAUGGGCCAUUAAUCGUGCUGUAAAACGGGCCGUAAAAUACCCCAAAUCAUUUAUUCCACUCCCUCUUGCCCUGUGAAAAUGAGCUGGUGAGAAGAAGCGUGAAGGGGGAGGUGCUUCUAUUUUGCUGGACCCUCGCUCUGCCAACCACCCGUCACCACCUCCCCACUGAAAUACCCGUGGAGGAGCCUUGGGAGCCAGGACUAUGGGUCAGUGCUCCGCCGCAGGGAUUUCUGUCUCCCACGGUGUGGUCAGUGAGCUGGAGUGCGACCAGGUCCCCACUGGCACCUCUCUCUCUUUGGGUUGGAUUCUUGGAACUGAGACCCCCUAGCCGCAGCCCCCCUCUGCUGUGCGUCUGCCACUUUCCGGGCCAUGAAUACAUGUUCAUGUCUACACCACGCUGGAACCAUUUUCUGUCCCACCUCGGGACUGGGUGGCACGUGAGAGCGGCCAGGGAGAGACCGCAUCUGGGAAGGCACAGCUGGCUGCAGGGAACGGCCGCCCUGGAAGAGCCCGUGGGCCCAGCAACCCAGGGUUCUAGUACCUGGUGACUGACCCUUUCUGGUAAGAGAAUAGUGAUGAACUUUGAAGUUAUCUGGAGGUGAGUUCCGUUCUUCCUUGUGAGAUGACUGAGGGGUGGGGGCUGAAAUUCUGCAUGGAGCUGGGGUGGUCCUUUUGGUGGAGGCCAGACACUGGCCUUUGGGCUCCGCAGGUGAGCUGCAGCGAAGGUCCUCAGUCAGCCAGAUGGAUGGUGCGAGGAGCCAGGGAGCCCACCUGCUAUGCCUGGGAAAAUGGUUUGUCUUCCAGGACAAGUCAUUCUACAACCUGCACAGAGCUCCGGAGCUGCAGAGAGGGAGCUCGUUGUAUCCAUUCGUCUGUGUCUUUAUAUAUUCAUGAAUGUGAAUGGUAUAGAGUCACUGCUCACCGUGGGAUAAAAGGCAAUUUUUAGAAAGCAUCUGUUCUGUGUUCUCAACAAGACUCAGGAAACUCUGUGAAAAGAGAUGGAGAGCGAGAUAACUAAGUGACAGACUGGGAUGAAAAUGGAAUUGGCUGAGGAGUAGCAGGAAGGAACACGCAGGCUGGGCGAGGCGCUGGGGACAGCAGGGAAGGGAAGUUCCACCUGAGCAAAGCUGUGAACUCAGCUUCAAGACCCCACGCUGCUGCAGAAACCUGCUGGGGAUGGAGAGGACAAACCCCAGACACCGUCGUGGGAUGUAGAGGGGAAGGACAAAGAACAAAAUGAAAACCCCCCACGAUGGCAAAGACGACGGGCAAGAACGAUUGGGCGUGGCGCGCAGGAGUGGUCCCCGCGAAGACAGCGUCAGAGGGAAGGGAACACAUCCCAGCCACAGCCAGGCAGGAGGGAGAAGCCUCGGAGCUGAAGCAAGCCCCGAGUCUGUUAUCAGCAAAGGUCAGGCCAAGGCCCGGGGAAACCGUGAAAUGUUGUGUACACACGUUGCACACUCUCAAGAAGCUUAAAAAUACUGAGUAUCAUAAUAGCGAGCAGCUAUGAGGAAAAGCCACUAUGAGCCUACUGCUGGCUCAGGUUCCAGUCUUCGUUUUAAACGCAUGAGUGUUAAAGUUAACUUCUCUGGCCGGGUGCGGUGGCUCAUGCCUGUAAUCCCAGCGCUUUGGGAGGCCGAGGUGGGCGGAUCACCUGAGGUCAGGAGUUUGAAACCAGCCUGGCCAACAUGGUGAAACCCCGUCACUAAUAAAAAUAC
ensembl:lncRNA novel transcript